ACAGAUGGUAGUCUUGGCAGAAGCCUU
rnacentral:piRNA from 1 species